rnacentral:lncRNA from 1 species
CAUGAAGGUCAAGGGUAACAGUUUCAAGAACAAGAGGGUGCUCAUGGAGAGUAUCCACAAGUCCAAGGCUGAGAAGGCCAGAGAGAAGACGCUUUCUGAUCAGUUUGAGGCCAAGCGUGCCAAGAGCAAGGCAAGCCGUCAGAGGAAGAUUGCCAGGAGGGAGGAGAGGUUGGCCCAGGUAAGAUAGUGUCUUAUAGAUUCAAUCUGCAUUUAUCUCUGAGUGGUGAUGAUCCUGGUGAUUGGUAAUAUGGAUGCUGGAAUUUCGUUUUGUGUCCAUGUGAUACUAUGAUUCUUAAGGACUACCAAAUUUGAACUUAUAUUUGCUGUUGCUUCUUGAUCCACUGAAAUGAAAGUAUGUUCUGAAAAUUUAUUUACUAUGGCAUAUGGUGAAUUGGUGAUCCAUGGGUUUGAAUGUUAUAGUUUUAUUGUCUAUCAGUCAUGGUUCAUUUUUUUGACUUAUUUUUUCUAAAAUGUUUGCCCUUUUCCCCUGAAUGUUGAGAUAUAAUUUAACCUGUUUGUUUUUUCUUUUCUUUUGAUUUUAUGUUUAAUUGUUUCAUCUUUGUAUAGGGCCCGAGGGAACCGGCUGCACCAGCAGCUGCAGCUCCAGUGCCGGCUGCAGCGUAAGUGUCUCGGAACUCCUUUUGUGUUCCUAGUUUCCUGGAGUAGGUUCAAUUAUUAUGUUUUGUUGAUGUGUUUUUCCUGCUUUCUCCAAUGUUUCAGGGCACCAAAGAAGGCGAAGAAAUGAAGGAUCGAUCCCCAGCUUUAGCUUUCUGGUACCAGGAGUAGCCUAAUUUUGGAGCGCCUCUGAACUGUUUUGCUGUUACAUAUGUCCAAGCUUUCGUGUCUCGAUAUCUCUGAAUAU